rnacentral:tRNA from 1 species
GCUGGAGUUGGGGCUCAGGGGUAGAGCACUUGCCCGCUAUGUAUGAGGCCCUGGGUUCUAUCCUCAGCACAGCA